GAUGAGAACGCAGCGAAAUGCGAUAAGUAAUGUGAAUUGCAGAAUUCAGUGAAUCAUCGAAUCUUUGAACGCACAUUGCGCCCCUUGGUAUUCCGAGGGGCAUGCCUGUUCGAGCGUCAUUAUAACCCUCAAGCUCAGCUUGGUGUUGGGGCCUGCUGCACUGGCAGCCCUUAAAAUCAGUGGCGGCGCCAUCUGGCUCUAAGCGUAGUAAUUCUUCUCGCUAUGGAGUCCUGGUGGAUGCUUGCCAUCAACCCCCAAUUUUUCUAUGGUUGACCUCGGAUCAGGUAGGGAUACCCGCUGAACUUAAGCAUAUCAAUAAGCGGAGGA
rnacentral:misc_RNA from 1 species